GUGAUGGUGUGUAGUGGUAGUGUGUGGUGAUGGUGUGUAGUGGUAGUGUGUGGUGAUGGUGUGUAGUUGUAGUGUGUGUGUCUGGUGAUGGUGUGUAGUGGUAGUGUGUGGUGAUGGUGUGUAGUUGUAGUGUGUGCUGAUGGUGUGUAGUGGAAGUGUGUGGUGAUUGUGUGUAGUGGUAGUGUGUGGUGAUGGUGUGUAGUGGUAGUGUGUGGUGAUGGUGAUGGUGUGCAGUGUGUGGUGAUGGUGUGUAGUUGUAGUGUGUGGUGAUGUUGUGUAGUUGUAGUGUGUGUGGUGAUGGUGUGUAGUUGUAGUGUGUGUGGUGAUGGUGUGUAGUUGUAGUGUGUGUGGUGAUGGUAUGGCGUGUAGUUGUAGUGAUGGUGUGUGGUGAUGGUGUGUAGUGCUAGUGUGUCUGUGUGUGUGGUGAUGGUGUGUAGUGGUAGUGUGUCUGUGUGUGUGGUGAUGGUGUGUAGUGGUAGUGUGUGUGGUGAUAUUGUGUAGUAUGGUAGUGUGUGGGGAUGGUGUGUAGUGGUAGUGUGUGGUGUUGGUGAUGGUGUGUAGUGGUAGUAUGUGUGUGGUGAUGGUGUGUAGUGGUAGUGUGUGGUGAUGGUGUGUAUGGUGUGGUAGUGUGUGGUGAUGGUGUGUAGUG
ensembl:lncRNA